UCUGUAGCCGUGCCACCCUGAACGUGCUAAUCCCGUCUGAUCUCAGAAGCUAAGCAGGGUCGGGCCUGGUUAGUACUUGGAUGGAAGACCACCUAGGAAAACCAGGUGCUUAUAGGA
rnacentral:rRNA from 1 species